GACAGGGGCCGGGAAACCCCGGGGACAGCCAUGGGAGCGGCCCGGACCGCAUGGUGAGGGGGAAGGACAAGGGAACGCACGGUCGGGACAAAGGACCGCAUGGUGCAGGUCAUGCAUUGCCAUUGCUUUCAGGAUUUCCAGGCCACCGGUUCCUGAUGUGAGACAGUGAUCUCAGAAGAUGACUCACAGAGAGGGAAAACGCAGGAUGGCACCGGCAGCCAGCGCGGCUUGUGCAGUGCCAGCGAGGACAACGUGGUCAGCAGCAAAAGACAGCAGUUCCUCGAUUGUGGAGCAUGGAAUUCUGUCAUUCUUGAAUCUCCAGAAGACAUAGAAGAGUGUAAAAUUUGCUAGAGGACAUUGAGGGUGUUCUGUGAUUUACUUCAGAAAGAGCAGAUCUCUUCUUGGGAGAUAAUUCUGAAAGGAAAAUUUUCAGAACCUGAUAUACCUCCCUGUUCAGGGGGUAGAAAAAGAAGCAAAGAUGAGCUUGGGAGAUACGGUAGGAGAAGUAUUUUAGUCUUUUUUUUUUUUUUUCUAGUGACUCUAUAUAAAUUGGCAAUAAAACAGAAAUUUUAGUAAUGCAUCUGUUAAAGUCUCUUUUUCUUGAAAUACUAACUCCUAAGUGGUCUCUCUGUCUUUAGCUUGACCCAUCAGCUUUUCCAUCCUAUUUUUCUUUCUUCUUGGCCUGCUGAGGAGAUGAAGUGAGAGAGAGGCUGGGUGGGUGUUUGCCAAGGUUACCUCACCCCACUGUGUUGCAAUAGAUCGAACUCAGAGGGCCAGGAACUCACAACUGCAUUGAAAAUGUUCAAAAAUCCUGACAAAUAGCUUUGAGUCUGCAGUUCUUUGUGUCCAGGAAAAGACACGGGGCUGUGCCCCACUGAUUUCAAAGUACCUGCCUACAAGGAGGGAUUUUUAAAUCAAAAAGCACGAGCUUCUAUACACAAAAAACCUGGCUGGAGCCAGGAGGCUCCACCUGGAUCAAAACACCUGUGGGAUCAGGACCAUAGAGUCUGCAAAAUAGCUUGAAGCCAAUAUAUCUGUCAAAGGCAUAGGAACCAAAACAAAACAACAGAAAAAAAGCCUCUUC